AGGCGAUGAAGGACGCGGUAGCCUGCGAAAAGCUACGGGGAGCUGGCAAACGAGCUUUGAUCCGUAGAUGUCCGAAUGGGGAAACCCACUCCUUUUGGAGUAUCCAUGGCUGAAUACAUAGGCCAUGCGAAGCGAACGCGGUGAACUGAAACAUCUAAGUAACCGCAGGAAAAGAAAUCAACCGAGAUUCCCAAAGUAGUGGCGAGCGAAAUGGGAUGAGCCUUGCACUCUUUAUUUGUAUUGUUAGCCGAACGC
rnacentral:rRNA from 1 species